AAAAAGGUAAGCUAACUAAGCUUUUGGGCUCAUACCUCAUUUAUAAAGGUUUUAAUCCUUUUCUUUUUA
rnacentral:tRNA from 1 species